GUCCUGUGCAGGUAUCUGCAAAUGAAGAUGCAGGGAUCUACAGCCUGAUCCCUUAUGUAUCAUCCAAAUCUAUACUAUCAGGUCCUUUUGAAGAAAAUGGAAAGUCAUCUGAAAAUGAGAAUUCUGAUAUGUACCGCGUAUACAGCCCAAUCCUCGACAGACCAGCAACCUCAGCCCAGCCGGAUGGGUUGUACAGUCUUCUGCAGACACACUGACACUACACCACUGGCUUUCUGUAGCUAUGUAUGUGUGUGUAUGUGUGUCUCACAGAAAUACUUUUUCUUGCAGUGGAUUCAGGGGAAACAGGAAGCUACAGUCUGAUCAUUUCUGUACCAUCCACAUAAAUGCCCACUGUUGGAGUGGAUACGCAGGCAUCUCAAAAAGUACAGCACAAAUAAAAAUGAUAGCCAUAGUUUGUCUUAUUCACCAUCACCCAUGUGAUUGUGUUCUGCACUUCUUUAAAUUGUUCUUACCAUAUCAUUUAUAUGCCAAACUGUCAAACUGUCUGUUUCUGUCUUGUUGUGUGAUAUGCACCACAUGUACAGCUCAAUCCCCGACAGACCAGAAAACUCUUAGUGAAACCACAACUGUCACUUUCUCUAGCUACAGAUCCCAGAAUACCCCUCUCAUAUAACGGCAUAUGUCUGUUCCGCUCAACAAGUUAAAUGCUCGUCUCUCACAGGAUGCUGUAUAUAGAGCAUGUCUUGAGUUUAAUGGUCAGACAAUAAGACUUUCUGUUAAACACCUACCUAUCUCUUACGCCUGUAUCUGUGAAUGUAUUUUUGGUAUUUCUAUUUCUCAUGUUUUUAUUCUGAUAAACUGAGGUGGCUUAAUAAGUAUAUUGGCUAUUUAUUAAUCUGUUUAGCUAAUUCCAUUAGGUGUCAGUUAAGCAAACUGUAAAACAACACCAACAUCCACCUUACACAUAAAAGCAACUGUUGAAGUUGAACCAAACCUCAGAUACCUCAGAUACCUUCAACUGAUGCUAUGGUUACAUUUAUUUAACAUUUAACAUCUUUACCAGACUAUUUCAGAUAUGAAAACCCAAACUAAAUACGCCCUCUAAAAAUACCAACAUGAGAAACAUAUGAAUGCUUCUGACAAUUACUGUAAGCACCUCAAGAUGUCAACAGAAAUGUAGUGUUGUUGAGUUUCAGAGCCAGACAUGGAGUCACAGCCAGAAUAUUAACUUGUGGGUGUUGCCAAUGCUGUACAUUAACCUUACUUCUUUUUAUCAGAGUUGUCACAGUCAAAUAGGCCUCAAAUAAAACAUAUGAAUUUACUCUGACAGUGAAGCUAAUGCUUUUGGGUUCAUUUGAUAUUUUAGGAGCAAAAUAUAAC
rnacentral:lncRNA from 8 species